UACGUAGGGGCCGAGCGUUGUCCGGAGUUAUUGGGCGUAAAGCGCGCGCAGGCGGCUUCGCGCGUCCGACGUGAAAGCCCCCGGCUCAACCGGGGAGGGUCGUUGGGUACGGCGGAGCUUGAGGGCGGUAGAGGUUGGUGGAAUUCCCGGUGUAGUGGUGAAAUGCGUAGAGAUCGGGAGGAACACCAGUGGCGAAGGCGACUACCUGGCCUGUUCUUGACGCUGAGGCGCGAAAGCUAGGGGAGCAAACGGG
rnacentral:rRNA from 1 species